rnacentral:rRNA from 1 species
CACGGGCAUGGGCGAAGCCUGACCGCAAUGCCGCGUGCAGGAAGAAGGCCUUCGGGUUGUAAACUGCUUUUGUACGGAACGAAACGGUCUGCCCUAAUACGGCGGGCUAAUGACGGUACCGUAAGAAUAAGCACCGGCUAACUACGUGCCAGCAGCCGCGGUAAUACGUAGGGUGCGAGCGUUAAUCGGAAUUACUGGGCGUAAAGCGUGCGCAGGCGGUUAUGUAAGACAGUUGUGAAAUCCCCGGGCUCAACCUGGGAAUUGCAUCUGUGACUGCAUAGCUAGAGUACGGUAGAGGGGGAUGGAAUUCCGCGUGUAGCAGUGAAAUGCGUAGAUAUGCGGAGGAACACCGAUGGCGAAGGCAAUCCCCUGGACCUGUACUGACGCUCAUGCACGAAA